rnacentral:rRNA from 1 species
AUUGAACGCUGGCGGCAGGCCUAACACAUGCAAGUCGAGCGGAUGAAGGGAGCUUGCUCCUGGUUUCAGCGUCGGACGGGUGAGUAAUGCCUAUGAAUCUGCCUGGCAGUGGUGUAUAACGUCCGGAAACGGGCGCUACUACCGCCUACGUCCUGAUGGUGAUAGUGGGGGAUCUUCGGACCUCACGCUAUCAGAUGAGCCUAGGUCGGAUUAGCUAGUUGGUGGGGUAAAGGCCUACCAAGGCGACGAUCCGUAACUGGUCUGAGAGGAGGAUCAGUCACACUGGAAGUGAGACACGGUCCAGACUCCUACGGGAGGCAGCAGUGGGGAAUAGUAGGCAAUGGGGGAGAGCAUGAUACAGCGAUGGCGCGUGUGAGAAGAAGGUGUUGGGAUUGUAAAGAACUUUAAGGGGGGAGGAAGGGCAGUAAGUUGAUACCUAGCUGUAUUGACGUUACCAACAGAAGAAGCACCGGCUAACUUCGUG